rnacentral:rRNA from 1 species
GACGGAACACGAGAAAUUCCGUCGGAAUCCGGGAGGACCAUCUCCCAAGGCUAAAUACUCUCUAGUGACCGAUAGUGAACCAGUACCGUGAGGGAAAGGUGAAAAGUACCCCGGAAGGGGAGUGAAAUAGAACUUGAAACCGUGUGCUUACAAGUAGUCAGAGCCCGUUAAUGGGUGAUGGCGUGCCUUUUGUAGAAUGAACCGGCGAGUUACGAUUUGAUGCAAGGUUAAGCAGUUAAUGUGGAGCCGUAGCGAAAGCGAGUCUGAAUAGGGCGUUGAGUAUUUGGUCGUAGACCCGAAACCAGGUGAUCUACCCAUGACCAGGCUGAAGUUCAGGUAACACUGAAUGGAGGGCCGAACCGACUUACGUUGAAAAGUGAGCGGAUGAGUUGUGGGUAGCGGAGAAAUUCCAAUCGAACCUGGAGAUAGCUGGUUCUCUCCGAAAUAGCUUUAGGGCUAGCCUUAAGUAAUGAUUAUUGGAGGUAGAGCACUGUUUGGACGAGGGGCCCUUAUCGGGUUACCGAAUUCAGACAAACUCCGAAUGCCAAUCAAUUUUAUCUUAGGAGUUAGAACGCGGGUGAUAAGGUCCGUGUUCGAAAGGGAAACAGCCCAGACCACCAGCUAAGGUCCCAAAAUAUAUGUUAAGUGGAAAAGGAUGUGGCGUUGCCCAGACAACUAGUAUGUUGGCUUAGAAG